rnacentral:tRNA from 2 species
GCGGAUGUGGCGGAAUUGGCAGACGCACGAGACUCAAAAUCUCGCGGUGGCAACAUCGUGUGGGUUCAAGUCCCACCAUCCGCA